AAUACUUUCACUGUGGUGUCCUUAUUAUAAUAUUACAUUGCGGUAUCAUGUUAUGCGAUUUAAAAGUCGUGAUUACGUUUAAACAGUGAUUUUCUACAUUAUAGCCUAUAAAUUCCAUGUCCUUUCUAUACAUUUUGAAUCAUACACAAUAUAUCAAAUAAUAUCCAGCGGUAAAAAAAAACUCUCGUUUAUCGACGACGACCGUUUUAAUAACUGCAAUCGCGGAAUAAACAACGAUAUGUUCGUAAUGCUCGUAUAUU